rnacentral:rRNA from 1 species
GAUUCUGGCUCAGAACGAACGCUGGCGGCAUGGAUUAGGCAUGCAAGUUGAACGAACUCCUUCGGGAGUGAGUAGCGGAAGGGUGAGGAACGCGUGAGUAAUCUGCCCCCCAGUUGGGAAUAACAGUUGGAAACGACUGCUAAUACCGAAUGUGGCUUAAGCUUCGCCUGGAGCUUUGGCUAAAGAUUUAUCGCUGGGGGAUGAGCUCGCGUCCCAUUAGGUAGUUGGUGAGGUAACGGCUCACCAAGCCGACGAUGGGUAGCUGGUCUGAGAGGAUGGUCAGCCACACUGGGACUGAGACACUGCCCAGACUCCUACGGGAGGCUGCAGUCGAGAAUCUUGGGCAAUGCGCGAAAGCGUGACCCAAGCAAUGCCGCGUGUAUGAUGAAGGCCCUCGGGUCGUAAAGUACUGUCUCCCGUGACGAAAUUUGACGGUAGCGGGGAAGGAAGCCACGGCUAACUACGUGCCAGCAGCUGC